UUUGCUAUCUUCCAUUUUGAUGUACUGAUGAAUGUUUCUGCAGAAUCUGUUAAUGGAGGACAAGAAUUGUAUUGAUUCGCAAUUGUGGCAAGCAUGUGCUGGUACUACAGUAAAAAUACCUGCAGUUAAUUCGAUAGUGUUGUAUUUUCCUCAAGGACACGCAGAACAUGCCGGUGUAAAUGUGGAAUUUAGGAGUGACAUUCAGAUCCCAUCCUACAUUCCUUGUAGAGUUUCGAGUAUUAAACACAUGGCAGAACAUGAAACUGAUGAAGUUUUUGCGAAAAUUAGAUUGACUCCUGUUAGUCUUAAUGAAUUUUUCGAAACGGCUGAUGAAGGAAUGGUGCCAGAUAAACCUCUUUCGUUUGCUAAGACAUUGACUCAAUCAGAUGCUAAUAACGGUGGAGGUUUUUCUGUUCCGAAAUAUUGUGCAGAUACGAUUUUUCCUACCUUGGAUUACACUCUGAAUCCUCCUGUUCAGACACUCUCAGCAACGGAUAUUCACGGGAAGUUAUGGCAAUUCAGACAUAUUUUUCGAGGCACACCAGAACGUCAUCUUUUAACAACCGGUUGGAGUACUUUUGUGAAUGAAAAAAAGCUUGUUGCAGGUGAUUCCAUUGUCUUUCUAAGGGAUGAAAAUGACGAAAUUUCUGUAGGAAUUCGAAGGAUUAAAAAAAAGAGUGUUACAAUUGAACCACCCGAGACUUCUCCUUGGUGGUUUCCAUCUGUUGGUGGUAAUCUUAAAGCUAUACCACGCGGAGGGUUUUCAGCUUUUCUCAGAGAUGAUCAGAAUACAAACUCGAGUUGGAAUUUGAUAAACAGGGGAAAUGUUAAAGCAGAAUCAGUUAUUGAAGCUACGAAUCUUGCAACUAAUAGACAACCAUUUGAGGUUAUCUUCUAUCCGCGCAGUAGCACUCCAGAGUUCUUUGUCAAGGCAUCACGUGUGAAGGCAGCGUUACAAAUCCCUUGGUGCUCAGGAAUGAGGUUCAAAAUGCCAUUUGAAACUGAAGACUUAGUGAUAAGCUGGUUCAUGGGAACUAUAUCGUCUGUUCAAGCCAUCGAUCCAAGUCGAUGGCCAGAUUCACCUUGGAGGAUGCUUCAGGUGACAUGGGACGAGCCAAAUUUGCUUAAUAAUGUGAUGUGUGUCAACCCAUGGCUCGUGGAACCAGUCUCAAACAUGCCCACCAUCCAGUUUAAUCCCUAUACACCCCCACUAAAGAAACUUCGAUUAUCUCACCAUUCUGAUUUUCCAUUAAAUGGUCAUCUUCCUAUGUCUGGUUUUCCCGAUAACCAUCUAGAUCCUCAUCUUCCUAUGUCAAGUUUUCCCAACCAUCAUCUUCUUAGGCCCAACAACACCCCUGCUGGCAUGCAGGGAGCCAGGCAUGCUCCAUAUAAUCUAUCAUUACCGGAUAUCCACACCAAUAAAUUGCACUCGAGUCUAUCUCCUGUCGGUUUUCCAUCACUUUAUCAUGUUGUUGCGAUUCCUAGCGCCUCCAAUAAUAAUACCAUGAUUCCCAAGCCAAGUAAUAAAAAUGACGAUGUAUCUUCUUUGCUAACCCUGGGAAGUUCAACCCAAAAUAGGCAGAAAUUUGACUCUGAAAAAACUACACAAUUCUUACUCUUUGGUCAACUCAUAGUUAUUGAACAACAAACCUCUCAAAGCAAUUCAAGAAAUAGUGUUUCUCCCGUUGUUGAUGUAACAAAUAGUUUUUCUGAUGGGAAUGAAUAUAAAAAAGAGAAUACCUCUGAUUCCUCAGAUACUUCAUUUGAUCACAAUAGUGUACCACAUUGCUUACCAUCUGAAUCAUUUCAAUCGGAGAAAAAUGUGGAGAUUGGACACUGUAAAGUUUUCAUAGAAUCUGAAGAUAGAGGACAAACAAAACAACUUAGUGAUGAAGAAUCAUUUAGGUAUGUGUUUAUCUUUCGUAAGUGAUAUUUUAUAAUUCAGCUUCAUAUAAACUUAAUUGAAUAUUCUUUGUUGCGAAUAGCUAUCAUUGAUAGAAUCAUUUUUUUUAUGUAUCCAAAUUUGUUUUGUAGGGAAUUCACGAAAGCGGCACGAAGAUUAACAAUUCUAACGGAUGGAAGCAGUAAUAACAUAAGAGCUAGGGAGGGAGUAUAG